CCGCUCUUAGCUCAAUGGUAGAGCGAGUGACUGUAGAUCACUAGGUUGCUAGUUCGAUUCUGGCAGAGCGGA